rnacentral:rRNA from 1 species
GACGAACGCUGGCGGCGUGCCUAAUACAUGCAAGUAGAACGCUGAAGAGAGGAGCUUACUCUUCUUGGAUGAGUUGCGAACGGGUGAGUAACGCGUAGGUAACCUGCCUUGUAGCGGGGGAUAACUAUUGGAAACGAUAGCUAAUACCGCAUAACAAUGGAUGACACAUGUCAUUUAUUUGAAAGGGGCAAUUGCUCCACUACAAGAUGGACCUGCGUUGUAUUAGCUAGUAGGUGAGGUAAUGGCUCACCUAGGCGACGAUACAUAGCCGACCUGAGAGGGUGAUCGGCCACACUGGGACUGAGACACGGCCCAGACUCCUACGGGAGGCAGCAGUAGGGAAUCGUCGGCAAUGGGGGCAACCCUGACCGAGCAACGCCGCGUGAGUGAAGAAGGGUUUCGGAUCGUAAAGCUCUGUUGUAAGUCAAGAACGGGUGUGAGAGUGGAAAGUUCACACUGUGACGGUAGCUGACCAGAAAGGGACGGCUAACUACGUG